CAUCAAUUGCCGGAUUUUAGUGAGUUUGGGGUUUUGUUGUAGUUUUUCUUAAUUAUCCCUUGGAGUUAAAACAAUAUUAAUUUUUAGAUCUUUUGAAGAGGUCAAAGAGGAUAGAAGACGGAAAGGGAAAGCACGACGUAUGUGUGAUAUAAUAUGUAGAAUACAAGAGCAAGGUUCGAAAUCAAUGGAGAUGCUCAAAGAAGGCGGGUCAACUAGUAAACCAUCUAUCCUUGAUGGAAAAAACUACUCAUAUUGGAAAACUCGAAUGACGUCAUUUAUUAAAUAUAUCGAUGGGAAGGCUUAAAGAGUUGUUAUUUCUGGCUGGAAGCUACUGAUGAUUACUGUUGAUGAUAAAUAUGUUCAAAAGUCUGAAGAGGAAUGGACGAAUGCAGAAGAACAAGCUUCUUUAGAAAAUUUACGAGCUCUUAUUGCCAUAUAUGAUGGAGUAGAUCUGAAUGUGUUCAAACUGAUAAAAGAUGCUUGGAAAGUUCUUGAAGUAGCAUUUGAAGGCACAUCUAAAGUAAAAAUCUCUCAAUUGCAACUUUUGGCCUAUAAA